CAGUCGCCGCGGGAAUACGUAGGGUGCAAGCGUUAAUCGGAAUUACUGGGCGUAAAGCGUGCGCAGGCGGUUAUAUAAGACAGAUGUGAAAUCCCCGGGCUCAACCUGGGAACUGCAUUUGUGACUGUAUAGCUAGAGUACGGCAGAGGGGGAUGGAAUUCCGCGUGUAGCAGUGAAAUGCGUAGAUAUGCGGAGGAACACCGAUGGCGAAGGCAAUCCCCUGUGCCUGUACUGACGCUCAUGCACGAAAGCGUGGGGAGCAAACAGGAUUAGAUACCCCAGUAGUCCCUGUCUCUUAUAC
rnacentral:rRNA from 1 species